UACGUAGGGCGCAAGCGUUAUCCGGAGUUAUUGGGCUUAAAGCGUGUGUAGGCGGAUCUGUAAGUACCUUGUGAAAUCCCACGGCUCAACCGUGGAACUGCUUGGUAUACUGCGGGUCUUGAGCCACCUAGGGGCAAGUGGAACAAACGGUGGAGCGGUGAAAUGCGUAGAUAUCGUUUGGAACGCCAAUGGUGAAAACAACUUGCUGGGGGUGUGCUGACGCUGAGACACGAAAGCCAGGGGAGCAAACGGG
rnacentral:rRNA from 1 species